rnacentral:rRNA from 1 species
AUUGAACGCUGGCGGCAGGCUUAACACAUGCAAGUCGAGCGGUAACAGAGAGAAGCUUGCUUCUCUGCUGACGAGCGGCGGACGGGUGAGUAAUGCCUAGGAUUCUGCAUAGUAGUGGGGGAUAACUUGCCGAGAGGUAAGCUAAUAACGCAUACGUCCUACGGGAGAAAGGAGGGGACCGUCGGGCCUUUCGCUAUUAGAUGAGCCUAGGUCGGAUUAGUUAGUUGGUGAGGUAAUGGCUCACCAAGACCGCGAUCCGUAACUGGUCUGAGAGGAUGAUCAGUCACACUGGAACUGAGACACGGUCCAGACUCCUACGGGAGGCAGCAGUGGGGAAUAUUGGACAAUGGGGGGAACCCUGAUCCAGCCAUGCCGCGUGUGUGAAGAAGGUCUUAGGAUUGUAAAGCACUUUAAGUUGGGAGGAAGAGCAGUUAACUAAUAUUUGACUGUUUUGACGUUACCGACAGAAUAAGCACCGGCUAACUUCGUGCCAGCAGCCGCGGUAA